rnacentral:rRNA from 1 species
GACGAACGCUGGCGGCGUGCUUAACACAUGCAAGUCGAACGGAGAGGCCCUGCUUUUGUGGGGUGCUCGAGUGGCGAACGGGUGAGUAACACGUGAGUAACCUGCCCUUGACUUUGGGAUAACUUCAGGAAACUGGGGCUCAUACCGGAUAGGAGCUCCUGCUGCAUGGUGGGGGUUGGAAAGUUUCGGCGGUUGGGGAUGGACUCGCGGCUUAUCAGCUUGUUGGUGGGGUAGUGGCUUACCAAGGCUUUGACGGGUAGCCGGCCUGAGAGGGUGACCGGCCACAUUGGGACUGCGAUACGGCCCAGACUCCUACGGGAGGCAGCAGUGGGGAAUAUUGCACAAUGGGCGGAAGCCUGAUGCAGCAACGCCGCGUGCGGGAUGACGGCCUUCGGGUUGUAAACCGCUUUCGCCUGUGACGAAGCGUGAGUGACGGUAAUGGGUAAAGAAGCACCGGCUAACUACGUG